CUAAGGUACAACACUUAAUGAUAGUCAUAGGGUACAAAUAAGCAAUCAGGAAACAAUAUCAAUAUAAAUCAUUAGGAUACAAGCAACAAAGUUACAGUAAUACAGUCAUAAGUGGAAGGAGAUGGGAAUAAUGAGAAGAUUAACAGUAGUGCAGAUUUAGUCAAUAGUUUGACAGUGUUGAAGGAAUUAUUUGUUUAGCAGAGUGAUGGCGUUUGGGGAAAAAACUGUUCUUGUGUCUAGUUGUUCUGGUAUGCAGUGCUCUAUAGCAUCGUUUUGAGGGUAGGAGUUGAAACAGUUUAUGUCCAGGAUCUGAUGCAAGUGAAGAUUGCUUUGAUGCUGUUAUCCCAACUAUAGACCCUCUGCAGUGUACAUUUUUUAUUCUAAACCUCAUAAUGACCCAAUUGAAUUAUAGUUUACUAAGAAAAUAACAAUCACAAUAAACCUUCCAUUUGAAAAACCCCUUCACAUUUGCUGCAAUUUUAAGAUUUGGGAGGAGACAAAAUAUGAUUUUUCUUCUGUUCCCACCUCCAGCCAAAACAAUCCAUAUUUAGUGAUACCCAGAACUUUGUAUUAAUUGUUCCAGCCAAGGAAAGCUCAGGGAAUGUUAUCUAUACAACCAUACUUUGCUAUUUUUGGGUGUGUGGUUGUUUAUGUGUAAGACUUUGAAGUGCACCACUUGGUUUGGAGGGGGGGGAGGAGAAGAGGAAGAAGAUCUGUUUCCAUUUUAGUAUCAGAUCUAAAACCAACUAGUCUGCAAAACAAAAUGGUAGCUUUGGAAAUGUUACUUCUUCAUUUGUUCUCCAGCCUGAUGUUUGUUUGGGUGACGUAGGUUGAAUGGGAGCCAAGUAGGAAUGAAUACAUAGAGCAAUGAACCCUUUGCAUAAUAACUUGGGAAUAAGUGCAUUUGCAAUUAAUGGGGCUUGCUUCCAAGUUAGUAUGCACGGGAUAAUACAUAAUUGAGACCCACAAGCAAAUAACAGCCUGUGAACAGUAGAGUGUUCUUUGACUUGUCUUGGCUUGUUUGAAAAAUUUGUUCUGAAGAGGACUUUUUAAAGGGUGUUUACUGUUUUUGGCUUGUGAUAUAUAAAUCGGCUGGUCUUGUGAUCUGGUAGACAGUAGAUUGGUAUUAGAUAAUGCUGUUUUGUUUGUAAUUUAACUUUUUGCCUUUGAUUUCUAUACUGUUUGGUCAUAAGGCCUGAUCAUCCUUUUCAUAGAAUUUCUUCUUUUACCAAAGAGAAUGCAGAUAUUGUUGUAAUUCUGUAACUCUGGAAAUGGUCUGAGUAUAGACUUAGUGAUGGUGAUUGCGAUUUAUAUGCUUUUGUGGUAAGAGUGCUUGCUAAUAUUGUCCAUAUGAUUUCUGUGUGGUUGUGUAUAUAAAUGAAAUCAGAUAUCAUAUUAAGUUUAAAUUCAUGUAAUCUCAAAGCACAGGAUAAAAGUAUUUUAUAACUUUAGUUUGAUCUGGUGGUUAAGGCACCAGAUUAGAAACUAGGAGAGGUUGAGUUCUAGUCCUGCCUUAGGUAUGAAAGCUGGCUGGUGACUUUGGGCCAGACACUCUCUUUCAGCACAACUCACCUCAAAGCAUUGUUGUGGGGAACAAAGAAGGCUGAAGGAGUAUUAGGCACAGAGGUGGCAUUCAGCCGGUUCGCAGAGGUUCAGGCGAACUGGUAGCGGCUAUCAUGGGUGCCGCCCACCCGCCCCAGCUCCAAGUCGUGGGCAAAGCAAGCAUGUGCAUGCACGGUGAACCGAUGCUAAAGGUAUGAAACAGUGAUGCUUUUAAACUGUUUCCAUCAAUAUAGAUUUAAAAAAGAGAAGAUGCUUGGUUCAGUUCUAAAGAAUGAAUUCCUGGGUGACUGACAAGAAAAUGAAGAAAAAAAAUUACAUGUUACAAUAUAAACUUUCUGUCCAUUUAUCUAUAACUGACUUACUAAGCACAUUUUAAAAAUCUCAAAUCAUUUUGAGAAAGAGCAAAACUCCAAAGUGGGCAAACAUGCAGCCUCAAACUUGUCAUAUAGAUCAGCGUGGAUCACAUCAAUAAACUGGGAGCAGAAAAAAUACAGAUUGAGGCCAGCAGACUUAGAGAAUUUUUAUGUGGAUGGCAGAAAGCCUUAAGGAUACAAUAAUACUUCUGGUUCCUUGAAAAUAUAGUAGUUCCCUGCCUUGGUAAUGCAAAUGAAUCUGCUUUCAAUCAACCAAGAAAAGCACAUCUAGUGAUUGCCGAAUAUGCAAUGAUGGACUGAAGAAGGCUUUGUGAAUAUGGAGCUGUCAACCGCAGCAGAAUGAAGAGUUGGCAAAUGGACCAGCUCCUCAGAAUUUCUCUCCAGAGCAAGGAGAGGACCAGGACUGCCCACAAGUGUUUCACACAAUAGCUCUCUAUGAAGAGACUGUAAGACAACAGUAUCUAGCCGGUUUAAUUGAUCUGGAAGCCUUAGGAAAAAAACUAACAAGAGGACACUUUGAAGAUUGGACACAAGAGGGACACCAGAUAAGAUAUGGAAAGAAGAGCUCUUUUGCUGCAUUUUAACAGAAAGUGUUAAGUUUCUGUGUUAAAAGUAAAGGAAUAUAAAACUGGUUUAUUGAUUAAGGCUAAUCAAUAUUAUUAAAAUAUGUUGUUAUUUUUGGUAACUCUUAAUUGACUUUUGCGGAUUAUAAUUAAAUGAUGAGGCUUUAUAGUUUGAUUAUAGAUAAGAGAUGAGAUAGGAGAAGAUACAAUUGGAUGAAAUAUCAGGAAUGAAGUUACAAGCACUGACACUGUAGUUGUCCUGAUGGAGGAGAAAGUCAUUUCUUCAUAUAUCUUUUUAAUUACUUUUUUCUUUUUCUCUGCACUUUUUAUAUUUGUCUUAGUUUGUACUAGUUUUUUAAUUGUUUUAUAUGUAAUCAUGAAUAAAAAUUGUUAUAAAAAAAGGAAAA